UACAGAGGGGGCAAGCGUUGUUCGGAAUUACUGGGCGUAAAGGGCGCGUAGGCGGCCUGUUAAGUCGGACGUGAAAUCCCUCGGCUCAACCGGGGAACUGCGUCUGAUACUGGCGGGCUUGAAUUCGGGAGAGGGAUGUGGAAUUCCAGGUGUAGCGGUGAAAUGCGUAGAUAUCUGGAGGAACACCGGUGGCGAAGGCGGCUUCCUGGACCGACACUGACGCUGAGGAGCGAAAGUGUGGGGAGCGAACAGG
rnacentral:rRNA from 1 species